UAAGGAGGGUGCAAGAGUUACUCGGAAUCACUGGGCGUAAAGGAUGCGUAGGCUGGAAAUCAAGUCGAGAGUGAAAUCCAACGGCUCAACCGUUGAACUGCUCUCGAAACUGGUUACCUAGAAUAUGGGAGAGGUAGAUGGAAUUAGUGGUGUAGGGGUAAAAUCCGUAGAUAUCACUAGGAAUACCGAUUGCGAAGGCGAUCUAAUGGAACAUUAUGGACGCUGAGGCAUGAAAGCGGGGGGAGCAAACAGGCUUCGAUACCCGUGUAGUCC
rnacentral:rRNA from 1 species